AGUGUGACAUCAGCGGUCAUGGAGAGUCUCCAUCCAGCUGGAUCACUGUCACAGACAAACACACCACCACACCUCCACCUACAUCAACAACUCCAUCUUCAUCCACUUCUCCUCCAUCACUGUCCUCCACUGCUCUCUCUGUGUUGUCAUUUCUUAAAUCGAUCUGUGGGUUCUUACUGGUGUUACUGGUUCUAUUAGGGAGACGAUGUGUUCAGAGGAAAACUGAAGCUGAUGGAGAAGUUAGAGAUGACAUCACGUACAGUCACAGAAAAUCUCAAGUCAUCAACAACAGCCAAUCAGAGAAAGUGAUCCAGCUGUUGUCCACUCAGCCCUGAGAACUGAAGACAUCUUUUAUGGACAAACAGCUGCCUGAACAAACAG